AGUGAACGCUGGCGGCGUGCUUAACACAUGCAAGUCGAACGAGAACGGAAUAUAGCUUGCUAUAUUUGUCAGCUAAGUGGCGCACGGGUGAGUAAUGUAUAGAUAACCUGCCCUUAAGAAAGGAAUAACAGUUGGAAACGACUGCUAAUGCCCUAUAUGCCUUUAAUACAUAAGUAUGCAAGGGAAACGCUUUAGUGCUUAAGGAUGGGUCUGUAUGGUAUCAGCUUGUUGGUGAGGUAAUGGCUCACCAAGGCUAUGACGCCUAACUGGUUUGGGAGGAUGAUCAGUCACACUGGAACUGAGACACGGUCCAGACUGCUACGGGAGGCAGCAGUGGGGAAUAAUGCACAAUGGACGAAAGUCUGAUGCAGCAACGCCGCGUGGAGGAUGACACAUUUCGGUGCGUAAACUCCUUUUAUAUAGGAAGAUAAUGACGGUACUAUAUGAAUAAGCACCGGCUAACUCCGUGCCAGCCGCCGCCGUAA
rnacentral:rRNA from 1 species